AUUUUCGGGAGAUAAUCUAAUAUAAAUAAUUAUUUUUAUAACAAAGAUAGCCGAAGAAGCAAAAAUUUAUUUUGCCAAUAAAUUUGAAACUCUCAGGCAAAAGGACCGAAAAUG
rnacentral:ncRNA from 1 species